rnacentral:lncRNA from 1 species
AAUUUCGGCACAUUCGUAGCUUGAUUAAGGUACGUUUUAGCUCAGUUUUUGAUGAUUUUUAUGUUUUUGUAAUCGUUGCAACUCAAUCUAGCUAGCCCGUAUCUUUAAUUUCGAAACCGUUAAAGAUUUUAAGAGUUUCCAUUUUUGAAUCUAUGUGUUCUUUGAUAUUUAAUGUUGAAAUAUGAAAGCUUGAUGAUAGAUUUUCAUGUUUUGUAAAGUGAUUUUUAAUGAAAAUGCAUAAUAGGGAUUAAAUUGUGAAAUGUGUAAAUUAUGUGGUUGAAAUGUGAAAUAAAUGAAAGUUUUGGGCUGCUAGGAACCUAUAAAUAAUUCGGCCAAGCUUGGGUUUAUUGAAAUUAUGUGAAUUUUGUGUUUCGAGAAAUAAGGACUAAAUUGUUAAAAGUGUGAAAGUUUAAGGGCUAAUGUGGAAAUAGACCUAAAUGUAUGUUUUGGACUAAAUUGAAUGAAUGGCUGAUUAAAUAAGUUAAUUUUGAAUUCAUAUAGAUUAAGAAAGAACGAAUUCGGAUUUAGAUCGGGGAAAAAGUAAGGUUAUCGAGUAGUCGACCCUAUCCGUCAAUUCCAAAUACGAGGUAAGUUCAUAUGUGAUUACUACAUUAUAAAUGUAUGUUAAAAUGCUUUAAUAUUGCAUAAUUUGUUAAAAUGGGAUUAUGGAUAAUGCAUGAAUUGUGAAAACGACUUUACAAAUGCAUUCGAUGAUAGAAACGAAAAGUGUGAAAGCCUGGUUGAACCUUAAGAAUAGUUUUGAAUACUAUUGACAUGUCAAUAAGUGAUACGUUGAAUUGGCUUAGGGUCAUGAUAUUAGCAUUGCGGGUGCAUAUUUUACUGAUUUGGCUUCGGGCCAUGCAUAUCAGAUGAUUUGGCUUCGGGCCAUGAUAAUAGUUCUUUGGAUAAGUUAUCUUAAUUUGGCUAUGGGCAAUGGUAUAGGUACUUAUCGUACAAGACUCCUGAGUAUCCAUUUUCUAUUCCAAACGGUUCAAUGGGUGAACGAACGAUGUGGUUGAGGAAGAG